AGAGUCCAGUGUUGAUCAGUGACUGUUCAGUCCUUUCAGAGACACUGACACACAGUACAAUGAUGAUGAUGUCACUGAUUCUACUGGGGACCCUGGGGCUCCUUGUUCAGGAAUCUUCAGCAGAUAUAAUCCUGACCCAAUCUCCUAAAUCUCGGUCUGUUAGUGCAGGAGAGACUGUGUCCAUCAGCUGUACAGCCAGUUCAGAUGUUAGUGAUAAUCUCAACUGGUACCUGCAAAAACCUGGAGAAGCUCCUAAACUUCUAGUUUAUUAUGCUACAGAGCUUGAGUCAGGUAUUCCAGAUCGUUUCAGUGGGAGUGGAUCUGGUUCUCAAUACACUCUGACCAUCAGUGGAAUCCAGGGUGAAGAUGCAGGAGAUUAUUACUGUCAGCAGUAUGACAGCACCCCGUUCACACAGUGUUAGAGCAUCGUACAAAAACCUCCCACAGUUAAAGAGGAACUGCUCUGAAUCAAAACCUACAAAGCGAAUAAACCCUUAUAGAAAGGAUUGUAACUUCAUCAAAAACAAUGGAAUAGAACACAAUAAUGUAACUUUACAUUUGCAU